UACCAAGUAUACAAGCGAACAAAUGAAAAUAGACCGAUUGUCAGUGUGCUGAUACCCAAAACAAAAAUCGACAAGUUAAACCAAAAGAUGUCAAGCGAUGGUACAUGGACCGGAGCGCCACUGCUCGU
rnacentral:snoRNA from 1 species